GACGAACGCUGGCGGCGUGCCUAAUACAUGCAAGUCGAACGCUGAAGGAGGAGCUUGCUUCUCUGGAUGAGUUGCGAACGGGUGAGUAACGCGUAGGUAACCUGCCUGGUAGCGGGGGAUAACUAUUGGAAACGAUAGCUAAUACCGCAUAAUAGUAGAUGUUGCAUGACAUUUGCUUAAAAGGUGCAAUUGCAUCACUACCAGAUGGACCUGCGUUGUAUUAGCUAGUUGGUGAGGUAACGGCUCACCAAGGCGACGAUACAUAGCCGACCUGAGAGGGGGAUCGGCCAAACUGGGACUGAGAAACGGCCCAGAAUCCUACGGGAGGCAGCAGUAGGGAAUCUUCGGAAAUGGACGGAAGUCUGACCGAGCAACGCCGCGUGAGGGAAGAAGGGUUUCGGAUCGUAAAGCUCUGUUGUAAGAGAAGAACGAGUGUGAGAGUGGAAAGUUCACACUGUGACGGUAUCUGACCAGAAAGGGACGGCUAACUACGUG
rnacentral:rRNA from 1 species